CCAGACUCCUACGGGAGGCAGCAGUGGGGAAUCUUCCGCAAUGGGCGAAAGCCUGACGGAGCAACGCCGCGUGAUCGAAUGAAGGCCUUCGGGUUGUAAAGAUCUGUUGACAGGGACGAAUAAGCCAUGCGAAUAGUUUGGUGUAUGACGGUACCUGUUUAGAAAGCUCCGGCUAACUACGUGCCAGCAGCCGCGGUAAUACGUAGGGAGCAAGCGUUGUCCGGAAUUACUGGGCGUAAAGGGCGCGUAGGUGGGUGCUUAAGUCCGGUGUGAAAACUCUGGGCUCAACCUGGAUACUGCACUUGAAACUGGGUAUCUUGAGGUCAGGAGAGGAAAGUGCAAUUCCUAGUGUGGCGGUGAAAUGCGUAGAUAUUAGGAGGAACACCAGUGGCGAAGGCGGCCUACUGGGCUCUCACUGACGCUUAGUCUCGAAAGCGUGGGUAGCAAACAGGAUUAGAUCCCCUAGUA
rnacentral:rRNA from 1 species